rnacentral:rRNA from 1 species
CCUACGGGUGGCAGCAGUGAGGAAUAUUGGUCAAUGGACGAGAGUCUGAACCAGCCAAGUAGCGUGAAGGAUGACUGCCCUAUGGGUUGUAAACUUCUUUUAUAAAGGAAUAAAACGAGGCACGUGUGCCUUUUUGCAUGUACUUUAUGAAUAAGGAUCGGCUAACUCCGUGCCAGCAGCCGCGGUAAUACGGAGGAUCCGAGCGUUAUCCGGAUUUAUUGGGUUUAAAGGGUGCGUAGGCGGACGCUUAAGUCAGCGGUAAAAUUGCGGGGCUCAACCUCGUCGAGCCGUUGAAACUGGGUGCCUUGAGUGGGCGAGAAGUACGCGGAAUGCGUGGUGUAGCGGUGAAAUGCAUAGAUAUCACGCAGAACUCCGAUUGCGAAGGCAGCGUACCGGCGCCCAACUGACGCUGAAGCACGAAGGCGUGGGUAUCGAACAGGAUUAGAUACCCGGGUAGUC